CCGAGGCCGUCCGCACGCUGCCCGACCUGCAGGCGCUGGCAGAGCUCUGCCGCCGAUACGUCACCAACGUCUCGCUCAGAGAGGCGCUGUGCGCCCUGGUGUGGGAGACGCUGGGCUGCUGCCAGUCGGUGGCCGACCAGCUGGCAGCCGCCUGCCGGGACCAGCAGCAGGGCGUCGAGACAGUGUUCGGCUGCCCCGGCCGCGUCUCCGCCCUGGUCCGGCUCUGCCUCCGACAGGUGGCCGUCGGCCUGAGCAAGCUGACGCUGGCGUUCGACCUGUACGGCCGGCACGAGGCGUCGCUGGACGCGGCCGAGCGGCGCGAGGUCAUCCGGUACGCCCAGUCGCGGCUGCCGCUCUU